AGAGUUAAACAGUGCGUGAAAUUGUUGAAAGGGAAACGCUUGACACCAGUCAUGCGAGCGGAAAAUCAGUCUUUUGCAGUGGGGAGUUGUGUGGGUUCGGACCGCAAGGCCGGCCUGCGCUGCAUCUCUGCUGUAAGUGAUGCACUUUUUCGUUUGCAGGCCAACAUCAGUUUGCUCUGCUGGACAAAACUCCAAGGGAAGGUGGCAGCUUAGGCUGUGUUAUAGCCCUGGAGCGAUACAGUGGAGUGGACUGAGGUUUCGCAGUGUGUGCUUUCGGGCAAGGCUGACUGGGUGCUAUGGGAUCGUUCGGCGUACAAUGCAUGCAUUUUGCGCUGUGUCUUUUUCAUACUCGCUCAACUCGGCUCUUCCACGCUUAGGAUGUUGACUUAAUGGUUUUAAACGACC
rnacentral:rRNA from 1 species